AUCCAGCUGACGAGUCCCAAACAGAACGAAACGCGCGGCAAACUGGAU
rfam:Schistosoma mansoni strain Puerto Rico chromosome 1, complete genome